AUGCAAGUCGAGCGGCCGUAGCAAUACGGCAGCGGCAGACGGGAGAGUAACACGUGGGAACGCGCCCUUCGGUUCGGGAUAACUCAGGGAAACUUGGGCUAAUACCGGAUACGCCCUUACGGGGAAAGAUUUAUUGCCGAAGGAACGGCCCGCGUCCGAUUAGCUUGUUGGUGAGGUAACGGCUCACCAAGGCGACGAUCGGUAGCUGGUCUGAGAGGAUGACCAGCCUCACUGGGACUGAGACACGGCCCAGACUCCUACGGGAGGCAGCAGUGGGGAAUAUUGGACAAUGGGCGCAAGCCUGAUCCAGCCAUGCCGCGUGGGUGAUGAAGGCCCUAGGGUUGUAAAGCCCUUUCGGCGGGGAAGAUAAUGACGGUACCCGCAGAAGAAGCCCCGGCUAACUUCGUGCCAGCAGCCGCGGUAAUACGAAGGGGGCUAGCGUUGCUCGGAAUUACUGGGCGUAAAGCGCACGUAGGCGGCUUCUUAAGUCGGUGGUGAAAUCCUGGAGCUCAACUCCAGAACUGCCUUCGAUACUGGGAAGCUCGAGUCCGGGAGAGGUGAGUGGAACUGCGAGUGUAGAGGUGAAAUUCGUAGAUAUUCGCAAGAACACCAGUGGCGAAGGCGGCUCACUGGCCCGGUACUGACGCUGA
rnacentral:rRNA from 1 species